GACGAACGCUGGCGGCGUGCCUAAUACAUGCAAGUAGAACGCUGAAGGAGGAGCUUGCUUCUCCGGAUGAGUUGCGAACGGGUGAGUAACGCGUAGGUAACCUGCCUGGUAGCGGGGGAUAACUAUUGGAAACGAUAGCUAAUACCGCAUAAGAGUAGAUGUUGCAUGACAUUUGCUUAAAAGGUGCAAUUGCAUCACUACCAGAUGGACCUGCGUUGUAUUAGCUAGUUGGUGAGGUAACGGCUCACCAAGGCGACGAUACAUAGCCGACCUGAGAGGGUGAUCGGCCACACUGGGACUGAGACACGGCCCAGACUCCUACGGGAGGCAGCAGUAGGGAAUCUUCGGCAAUGGACGGAAGUCUGACCGAGCAACGCCGCGGGAGUGAAGAAGGUUUUCGGAUCGUAAAGCUCUGUUGUAAGAGAAGAACGAGUGUGAGAGUGGAAAGUUCACACUGUGACGGUAUCUUACCAGAAAGGGACGGCUAACUACGUG
rnacentral:rRNA from 1 species